UGGGGAAUCUUGCACAAUGGGGGCAACCCUGAUGCAGCGACGCCGCGUGAGCGAUGAAGCCCUUCGGGGCGUAAAGCUCUUUCGACCGGAACGAUAAUGACGGUACCGGGAGAAGAAGCUGCGGCUAACUACGUGCCAGCAGCCGCGGUAAUACGUAGGCAGCAAGCGUUGUUCGGAGUUACUGGGCGUAAAGAGUGCGUAGGCGGUUUUCUACGUUCGGUGUGAAAUCUCCCGGCUUAACUGGGAGGGUGCGCCGAAGACUGGGAAGCUGGAGUGUGGGAAAGGCAGGCGGAAUUCCUGGUGUAGCGGUGAAAUGCGUAGAUAUCAGGAGGAACACCGGCGGUGUAGACGGCUUGCUAGACCAUAACUGACGCUGAUGCACGAAAGCGUGGGUAGCAAACA
rnacentral:rRNA from 1 species